CAUACUAUUUUUCUUCUUUUACGUUUCUAAAAAACAUUCACGAUAGUCGAAAGCAAACGCCGCCUGAUCUGAUGGCUGAGUUCUUCUGUUCUUGCAGUGGGGCUUGAAUCCAGGGCCCUGAGUGUGCUGGGUGAGCACCUUCCACACACACACACACACACACACACACACACACAAUCCGCAGAGCAAGCUCUUUAACAGCUCUUCAGGAAUUUUGCGGCGGCCGAGGGAGGGACCCCGACGCCGUGGGAACCGGGGUACAGCGCCCCGCGCAGGCGCAGGAGGGAGGUGCGGCUCCCCUUUCCGACCCCGCUGACCUCCCCGGUGUGACUCCGGGGAGACGGCAGCCUGUGGGGCCUGAGGAGGACCUGCAGCAUCCCGGGGCAAGGUCCGAUGUGGUUCCCUCUCCAAGGAAGUCCCUGUCACAGCACACAGCAGCCUGCCGCUGACAGUGCUGCUUGGGCCUCCCCUUCAACACGGACGCCCCUUCCGGCCAAGCAACGAUCGCUGCAGAGGAUUCUUCGGGCAUCCCUAACUCGGGAGAGAAAGAAAACACGCACAUCAUAGAAAGUAAAGAAAGGAAUCCUGGCGCAGGGCGCAGAGAGACAGUCACUGGGACACCAGUGUGCCUGAACUGACUUCUGAGACACAGGUUCAGGACGGCCUCGCUCAGUGGAACCGCCGGGAAGUGAAGCCCUCACCUCACUUCUAGCUCACGCAUUCCUAGAGAAGCGUUUCCCUGCAGUAGGCAAAAAGCAGGCAAAAACAGUCACAGGCACGCACUCAUUUUUCCAAAGAAAGGCGCUCACACUGGGCUUGCUCUGCAGCUUCUCCCAUACUUCUUAUCCAAGCCAGCGUGCCCUUGCUGUGUCGCUGACAGCUGGUCUGAAUUCCUUCACUCAUGGCCACCCGUGUUUCUGGGCAGAAGCUGGCGGCAGAGGGGACUGUGCUCUGGAAGACAGCUGCGAGCAGCUGCCCCCAGCAUGCAGCAGCGCAGACCGCAGAGGCCGUGAUGCUGCCUCCAGGUCUCAGCCGCCUGGGUGCGGAGCUCUAGAGCUGCUGAGUCCAGUUUCCAAGCGUCUAUCCAAACAUGGGGUGUAAUGAAGGCUGUGCACACCUGUCAUCACAGCUACCUGGGAGGCUGAGGCAGGAGGGCUGUGUAUUCAAAGACACCCUGUGGAACUUAGUGAACCUGUCUCAAGACAAAAUAAAAAUGAUGUGGCUCAGUGGCAAA